GGAUUGAACGCUAGCGGGAUGCUUACACAUGCAAGUCGAACGGCAGCGCGGACUUCGGUCUGGCGGCGAGUGGCGAACGGGUGAGUAAUAUAUCGGAACGUGCCCAGUAGCGGGGGAUAACUACGCGAAAGCGUGGCUAAUACCGCAUACGCCCUACGGGGGAAAGGGGGGGAUUCUUCGGAACCUCUCACUAUUGGAGCGGCCGAUAUCAGAUUAGCUAGUUGGUGAGGUAAAGGCUCACCAAGGCGACGAUCUGUAGCUGGUUUGAGAGGACGACCAGCCACACUGGGACUGAGACACGGCCCAGACUCCUACGGGAGGCAGCAGUGGGAAUUUGGACAAUGGGGGAAACCUGAUCCAGCCAUCCCGCGUGUGCGAUGAAGGCCUUCGGGUUGUAACCGCUUUUAGACGGUAAGAAAGAUCACGAUAACACCCGUGUUCUUGACGGUACCGGCGGAGUAAGCACCGGCUAACUACGUGCCAGCAGCCGAC
rnacentral:rRNA from 1 species